rnacentral:rRNA from 1 species
CAGUCGCCACGGUAAUACGUAGGGUGCAAGCGUUAAUCGGAAUUACUGGGCGUAAAGCGUGCGCAGGCGGUUGUGUAAGACAGGUGUGAAAUCCCCGGGCUUAACCUGGGAACUGCGCUUGUGACUGCACAGCUAGAGUAUGGCAGAGGGGGGUGGAAUUCCACGUGUAGCAGUGAAAUGCGUAGAGAUGUGGAGGAACACCGGUGGCGGAGGCAGCCCCCUGGGCCAAUACUGACGCUCAUGCACGAAAGCGUGGGGAGCAAACAGGAUUAGAUACCCCCGUAGUCCCUGUCUCUUAUAC